rnacentral:rRNA from 1 species
GAUGAACGCUGGCGGCGUGCCUAAUACAUGCAAGUCGAGCGAACGGACGAGAAGCUUGCUUCUCUGAUGUUAGCGGCGGACGGGUGAGUAACACGUGGAUAACCUACCUAUAAGACUGGGAUAACUUCGGGAAACCGGAGCUAAUACCGGAUAAUAUUUUGAACCGCAUGGUUCAAAAGUGAAAGACGGUCUUGCUGUCACUUAUAGAUGGAUCCGCGCUGCAUUAGCUAGUUGGUAAGGUAACGGCCUACCAAGGCAACGAUGCAUAGCCGACCUGAGAGGGGGGUAGGCCACACGAGAAGUGGGACGGCGACCAGACUCCUACGGUAGGCAGCAGUAGGGAAUCGUCCGCAAUAGGCGAAAGCCUUGCGCAGCAACGCGGCGUGAGUGAUGAAGGUCUUCGGAUCGUAAUACUCUGUUAUGAGGGAAGAACAGAUGUGGAAGGAACUGAGCACAGCUUGACGGUACCUAAUCAGAAAGCCCCGGCUAACUACGUG